rnacentral:rRNA from 1 species
GACGAACGCUGGCGGCGUGCCUAAUACAUGCAAGUAGAACGCACAGUUUAUACCGUAGCUUGCUACACCAUAGACUGUGAGUUGCGAACGGGUGAGUAACGCGUAGGUAACCUGCCUGGUAGCGGGGGAUAACUAUUGGAAACGAUAGCUAAUACCGCAUAAUAUUAAUUAUUGCAUGAUAAUUAAUUGAAAGGUGCAAUUGCACCACUACCAGAUGGACCUGCGUUGUAUUAGCCAGUAGGUGAGGUAACGGCUCACCUAGGCGACGAUACAUAGCCGACCUGAGAGGGUGAUCGGCCACACUGGGACUGAGACACGGCCCAGACUCCUACGGGAGGCAGCAGUAGGGAAUCUUCGGCAAUGGACGAAAGUCUGACCGAGCAACGCCGCGUGAGUGAAGAAGGGUUUCGGAUCGUAAAGCUCUGUUGUAAGAGAAGAACGGGUGUGAGAGUGGAAAGUUCACACUGUGACGGUAUCUUACCAGAAAGGGACGGCUAACUACGUG